rnacentral:misc_RNA from 1 species
AAUCCUCAACCCCUCCGAUUCGUUUCGGUGGGGAUUGGACUUGGAGCGUGCUGGCGAAGGUCGGCUCCUCUUUAAAUGCAUCAGCGGAGAAAAUGCCUUUUGCGCCUCUGGCCGUUCAGCGUGAUAAUGAUGUUGCGCUGCGGUCGAGCUUAAGGUCCGCUUCCAAAGGUCCUCGGACAAAUAUACAUAUGAC